rnacentral:rRNA from 1 species
CCGCCCGUCACGCCAUGGGAGUUGGUGUUGCUUGAAAAGAUUGAGCUAACCGCAAGGAGGCAGAUCUUAAUGGCGAUACCGAUGACUGGGGUG